GUCCACGCCGUAAACGAUGGAUACUAGCUGUUGGGGGCAACUUCAGUGGCUAAGCGAAAGUGAUAAGUAUCCCACCUGGGGAGUACGUUCGCAAGAAUGAAACUAAAAGGAAUUGACGGGGGCCCGCACAAGCGGUGGAGCAUGUGGUUUAAUUCGAUGAUACGCGAGGAACCUUACCAAGGCUUAAAUGUAGAUUGACCGAUUUGGAAACAGAUCUUUCGCAAGACAAUUUACAAGGUGCUGCAUGGUUGUCGU
rnacentral:rRNA from 1 species